rnacentral:lncRNA from 1 species
CUCGAGAUGCUCUGCCUUGCAACUUUGCAUGCAGCCUAAGUGCUUUAGCUUUCACGAGCACUCUUCACCCUGAAUUCCUUUCUUCAGCCAUGAAUUGAUACACUUUCACAUUCACAGGCCUCCAUCCACUAGUGCCAUUUAUGAGCAUCCUUUUUCAUUUAGCACUGAGCACAUUGCCCUACAACAUGCUCCCCCACUCUGAGUCAUUGACACCCACAACAGACUCAGACAUCCAGUUCCUCUGAACUUAGACUUCAAAUUCACAUUGCUUUAGAUAUCCCCUGUAUCUGCAACCAAAAUAUUCAACUUGAUACCACACGUAUCAGAAGCUAACACCAAGCAUAAUGUCGACCAUCGACUUAGCCAAUCUGACUCUGAUACCAACUGUCAUGGGGUGAGUGUUUUCUUACUCAAACACCUGUGCGGCGUCCCAGCAUGCCACACACCAAAGUCAGCCCUCUUGAGUCCUUUCCUCGAACAUACCAAUAAGCACGCAACAGUCCAGCCACACAGCCAAGCUUACACCUCUAUACCCCUACCUGGUAACACUAUUGUACUGAAUACAGAUGACACCCUCAAGUGCCCAUAAGCAAUCCGACCCCUCGAAUCAACUGCAAUGCUCAUGUGCACCUCCAUGCCAUAACCUAGAUUCUUUUCAAGAGUGCUCCGUAGCCCAACACCUCUGUGUCAACUCUAAGGCUUUGCCCCUCAAGCCAAGCACUGCUCAACCCAGAUGUCUUGAUCCUUCACAUACCCUCGUGCCAUGACAUAACCACUGUAUCACUGAUCCGCAAUCCACCA